UAAAAGCCUUUAUGACCUAGGGAGAGGAAAGAAUUUCUUAGAUAUAAAUAGUGGAGAUCAUAAUCAAGAGAUUGAUAAAUUUAUCUACAUUAAAAUCUAGAGGACAAAACUCCCAUAAACAAAGAAGUGUCAAUCUGGGAGAAGGCAUAAUAAUAUAUAUAAAUAUAUGUAUAUAUAUAUAAAUUAUUGUAUGUAUAUAUAAAUAAAAUGAAUACAGUAGGCUGUCUAAAAAUUUGCACAUCAUUGAGGGAAAGAAAAUCCAAUAAUUAAAGUUUAUAAAAUAGUGGGCAGACACAGAACAAUAAAUAAAGUUUAAUAAAUAUGAAAGAAUACACCAUUUUUAAAAUGUCAGGGAAAUAUAAAUUAUAGUACCACCCUUCACAGUGGCAAAAAUGGUUAAGUCUGGCCAUAUCUAGUGUUGGUAAGAAUGUGGAGCAAAGAGAAAAUUCAUCACUUACAGUGAGGAUGUAAAUUGGUAUUAUUUGGUAAGUGACCCAGCAUACAUGUUAAAAAAAUUCUUGUAAAAAUGCACAACGAGAUCCAUACAAAUAUAUUUUACAUAAAUAGUAAACAAUUGAAAAAACUCAGUAUCCAUCAUUAGUGAAAUGGAAAAAGAUAUAUAUGUAUUUGGAAAUACCACAUAACAGUUAAAACAUGGAUAGAAUCUCAAAAAGUAUGUCAAAUGAGAAAGUGAUUUGGAGAACAUUAGAGCAUAAUACAUUUGUGUAAAUUUUACAAAACCACGACUCUGUAUGUAUUUACAAACAUUUAAACAUGGUAAAAGCAAAAAUAAAAUUGUACUAGAAUGAUUCCUAUAACAUUUAUGAUGGAAGUUGCCCAUGUGGAAGGAAGAAGUUCAAGUAGAGGAGAGUUUAAUCUUAUCUGUAAUGUUUAAUAUUUUCUAUGAAGAAAUGAGACAUAAAUGAAAAAUGUUAAAAUUUGUUAAUUCUUGGUGAAAGGUACAG
rnacentral:lncRNA from 1 species